rnacentral:lncRNA from 1 species
UGAGUGCGAGAAGUAACCCAAAGACCUUGUCUUGCUCAUGCCUUUCAUUGAGGAUAUUUGGAUCAGUGGUGCUUGGCCUUAGCAUUUCAAGCUCAGACCACAAUUGACUGAACUUCCCAAGGUGCUUGGUAAAGUUCAUCUCUUCCUGCUGUAAGUUGUUGAUUGCCUUCUUCACUUCAAAAAUUCAGGUAAGGUUUGAAGUG